rnacentral:rRNA from 1 species
AGCUAAUACUUGCUUUAGCACUCUUGAUUAAGUUCUUGAGUGUGUACUUGUUAAGCCUUUUAAGAAAAAAGUUAUUAACUUAAGGAAUUAUAACAAAGAAGUAACACGUAAUGGAUCCGUCCAUUUUUAGUGUGUAUCAAUCGAGUUUCUGACCUAUCAGCUUUUGAUGUUAGGGUAUUGGCCUAACAUGGCUAUGACGGGUAACGGGGAAUUAGAGUUCGAUUCCGGAGAGGGAGCCUGAGAAAUAGCUACCACAUCUAGGGAAGGCAGCAGGCGCGUAAAUUACCCUAUUCUAAAGAAGAGAGGUAGUGACAAGAAAUAACAAUACAAGGCCAAUCUGGCUUUGUAAUUGGAAUGAUGGGAAUUUAAGACCUUCCCAAAACUCAAUUGGAGGGCAAGUCUGGUGCCAGCAGCCGCGGUAAUUCCAGCUCCAAUAGCGUAUAUUAAAAUUGUUGCAGUUAAAACGCUCGUAGUUGAAUUUCAAAGAAUCGAUAUUUUAAGUAACGCUUUUAGCUUAAUCCACAUAACUGAUACUACGUAUCGACUUUGUGCGCAUUUUGCUAUUAUGUGUUCUUUUAAUUAAAAUGAUUCUUUUUAAGGUCUUUCUCUUGCUUCGGCAUUUGAAGAUCUUGUUACUUUGAGUAAAUUAGAGUGUUCAAAGCAAACAGAUAUAGCAUUGCGCGUUUGAAUACUACAGCAUGGAAUAACAAAAUUGAACAAGUCAGAAUUUUGUUCUUUUUUCUUAUUUUGGCUUAGUUACGAUUAAUAGGAGUAGCUUGGGGGCAUUUGUAUUCAGAUGUCAGAGGUGAAAUUCUUAGAUUUUCUGGAGACAAACAACUGCGAAAGCAUUUGCCUAAAAUACUUCCAUUAAUCAAGAACGAAAGUUAAGGGAGUGAAGACGAUCAGAUACCGUCGUAAUCUUAACCAUAAACUAUGCCGACUAGGCUUUGGAUGAAAGAUUUUAAAAUAAGA